rnacentral:tRNA from 1 species
GACGUCCCCUUCACACGGGGAAGGUCACGAGUUCGAACCUCG